rnacentral:rRNA from 1 species
ACGGCUCAGUAACACGUGGACAACCUACCCUACAGAAGGGGAUAACCCCGGGAAACUGGGGAUAAUACCCUAUAGACUAUGGAUGCUGGAAUGCUCUGUAGCCGAAAGGUCCGCCGCUGUAGGAUGGGUCUGCGGCCGAUUAGGUUGUUGUUGGGGUAACGGCCCAACAAGCCUGUAAUCGGUACGGGUUGUGGGAGCAAGAGCCCGGAGAUGGAUUCUGAGACACGAAUCCAGGCCCUACGGGGCGCAGCAGGCGCGAAAACUUUGCAAUGCGGGAAACCGUGACAAGGGAACUCUGAGUGCCCGUAAAAUCGGGCUGUCCAUCGGUUUAAAAAACCGGUGAAGAAAGGGCCGGGCAAGACCGGUGCCAGCCGCCGCGGUAAUACCGGCGGCUCGAGUGGUGGCCACUAUUACUGGGCUUAAAGCGUUCGUAGCUGGUUUGUUAAGUCUCUGGGGAAAUCUUCCGGCUUAACCGGAAGGCGUCUCAGGGAUACUGGCAGACUAGGGACCGGGAGAGGUGAGAGGUACUCCAGGGGUAGGAGUGAAAUCCUGUAAUCCUUGGGGGACCACCUGUGGCGAAGGCGUCUCACCAGAACGGCUCCGACAGUGAGGGACGAAAGCUGGGGGAGCAAACCGGAUUAGAUACCCGGGUAGUCCCAGCUGUAAACGAUGCGCGUUAGGUGUAUCAGUGACCACGAGUCACUGAGGUGCCGAAGAGAAUCGUGAAAUGUGCCGCCUGGAAGUACGGUCGCAAGGCUGAACUUAAGGAAUUGGCGGGGGGAGCA